CUAUUUUUCCACUACUGACAUGUCUUGUUAGUAUCUGAUUGUUGAGUAAAAACAGAUACUGACAAGACACAAUGGUAGUAGAAAAACCU
ensembl:miRNA aca-mir-5448 aca-mir-5448